CAGCAGCCGCGGUAAUACGUAGGGUGCGAGCGUUAAUCGGAUUUACUGGGCGUACAGGGAGCGUAGGCGGUUUGGUAAGCCCUCCGUGAAAUCUUCGGGCUCAACCCGGAAAGUUCAGAGGGGACUGCCAGGCUAGAGGACGGGAGAGGAGCGCGGAAUUCCCGGUGUAGCGGUGAAAUGCGUAGAGAUCGGGAGGAAGGCCGGUGGCGAAGGCGGCGCUCUGGAACGUUUCUGACGCUGAGGCUCGAAAGCGUGGGGAGCAAACAGGAUUAGAUACCCUGGUAGUCCACGCCCUAAACGAUGCGAACUGGACGUUGGGAGCAGCUAGGCUCUCAGUGUCGAAGCUAACGCGUUAAGUUCGCCGCCUGGGGAGUACGGUCGCAAGACUGAAACUCAAAGGAAUUGACGG
rnacentral:rRNA from 1 species